UCAAUAUGUGUUUGUAUAAUCCCUAACUGUGUGUAGAAACAAGAGAUGGCUUUCUCUUGUGAUAUAAACUCGUUAUAUAUCUUGAUUGUGGGCCCCAAAACGCCUGAUGGGCAUUUUCAAAUAAUGAUAUUGUUUGCUACCCCUAUCCACUUCAACCUUGCUGACUAUUUGAUAUUUUUUAAAAGAGUUUAUGCAAAAGAACUUUUCUCAAAAUGAUUGUUUAAAGUUUGCUUUUUAGAUAUGAUUCAUGAAACAAGUUGGAUUGCCAUUCUCCAAAAGGUCAAUUUAGAAGACUAGGUGAAAGUCUUUAGAAAAUAUCUGUAUAUGAGGAGUUAUUGACCUCUUAGGAAAAGCCAUUCCUCUGGCCUGUUGAUCCCGGGUUUUUUCAUGGUUUAAGGCUUCGGUAUUUUGGAAGUUGCAAUCAGGAAGUUUCAGAGCUUAGCCUGUGUAUUCAAACUCUUACAAACUGUCUUUGUUUGUAGCGUAUGAUAAACCUCGCAGAGUUGACCCCUUAUAUCCUGUGUUCCAUCUGCAAAGGUUACUUUAUUGAUGCUACAACUAUUACAGAAUGUCUGCACACCUUUUGUAAAAGCUGCAUCGUGAGACACUUCUACUAUAGCAACAGAUGUCCAAAAUGCAAUAUUGUUGUACAUCAGACACAGCCCCUUUAUAAUAUCAGACUGGACCGGCAACUGCAAGACAUAGUCUAUAAAUUAGUUGUCAAUCUUGAGGAAAGAGAGAAAAAACAAAUGCAUGACUUCUAUAAAGAAAGAGGAUUAGAAGUGCCCAAACCAGCUGUCCCACAGCCAGUUCCAACGAGCAGAGGAAGACCUCGUAAGGUUCUAGGCUCAGUGUUCCGGAUUCCGCCAGAACUUGACAUCUCCAUACUUCUGGAGUUUAUUGGAGCAAACGAAGGCACAGGGAAUUUUAAGCCUUUGGAAAAGAAGUUUGUGCGUGUUUCUGGGGAGGCAACAAUUGGACAUGUGGAGAAAUUCCUCAGAAGAAAAAUGGAUCUGGACCCUGCUUGUCAGGUGGACAUAAUAUGUGGUGAUCACCUACUGGAGCACUACCAGACACUGAGGGAAAUUCGUCAAGUCAUAGGAGAGAGUGCAGUGCAGCUGCUGGUUAUUUUCAUUUGUCUGAAACUGGGCCUUCUCAGAGUUCUGCAUCACUGAUGGAUAUAAUGAGCUCACACAUGGGAAAAGCUAAAAGGAGUGCCUUCCGUGAUGUCCUUGGCCCUUGGCACAGAGGAUGGUUUGCUUGUACUGCACUAUGGCCUGGUGGUAUCUCCGCUAACUUAAAGAUUGCUGGAAUAUUACAAGGCAAAAGAAUCUGAAGAGUCAUGGCGCUUCUUCACUGCUGUUUCUCACCAAAGAAGCCAUCGUAUUUCCUGUGGCAGGAAGCAAGUUAAAGGAACUACCACUAACUGCUGUGUGAUCUUAGUGUAACAUCUGACUUCACCACUGUAAAAAAUUGCAGCUUCUGUAAGUACAGCUGUAGAUGUUGGUAUGCUUCAUGUUACAAAUUACUGUCUUCAAAUUUCACUCAGCUCAGGGAAUUUAAAUGCUCAGAGUAGCUGCAUUUUUUUUACUUUCUAAAACCCACAAGAUUUCACAGGGUUAACAGCCUUUUUUUCCUCUAAGCUCUGAGAUAUAUCUCUUGCUUUCUAAGUGUCUAGCUAGAACAGUGCUCUCAGGGAUGAUCUUCAGUGAGCAGUAUAGUGUAUUUUUGGGAGGAGACAGUGAGUUGCCUAAAAAAAUGUGUACUGUGAUCAUCUGUCUUCAUAUGUGAUUUGGGGGUAGGAAGGAAACUAGAAAUGCAGACCAAAAUAGGUAGAAAACGAUGCAGCAUAAGCAUUGGUUUUUUUGAGAAGUAGCAUUAAAUUUAGUUGUUUUUCUUGAAGAAAGACAAUUUUGUUUGCACUGGAAGUAUAUUUGCUGGUAGUUUUACUUAUACCAAAUGGUGGAUCACGCAUCUCUAGUCUUAAUGGAGAUGGGCUGACUGUAAGCUGUUUAAACUAUGCAUGAAAAAAAAAAAGUAGCACCUCUUUCUACCUGCUUGCUGUAUAUAAAAUGAUCACUGUCGGCGUGAUUCUGCUAUCAUGAAUCUGUCAACUGGCUUGACUGUCAGGAGCAUAAAUCCAUUCACUUUAGCACAUACCUCUCUAGCAGCUGUGAAAAUGGUUGCUUUUUCCACUCUUUUUAAUGUGUUUUAGUGCAUUGCAGUGGAGACCAGGGUUGAGUAAUGUAAUACUUGCCUGUUACUACCAGAUUCGCAGAGGAUUUUAGGUAACUUUAACAUAUUAAAAUACUAUGGUUUGUGACAACUCUAA